rnacentral:rRNA from 1 species
GGAUGCGAUCAUACCAGCACUAAAGCACCGGAUCCCAUCAGAACUCCGAAGUUAAGCGUGCUUGGGCGAGAGUAGUACUAGGAUGGGUUCCCUCCUAGGAAGUCCUCGUGUUGCAUUCC